AUACGUAGGGUGCAAGCGUUAUCCGGAUUUACUGGGCGUAAAGGGUCCGUCGGCGACCUAGAAAGUCUUUUGUUUAAGCCUGUGGCUCAACUACAGAAAGGCAAAAGAAACUUCUAGGAUUGAGUAUGUUAGGGGAAGCUGGAAUUCUCAGUGGAGGGGUGAAAUCCGUAGAUAUUGAGAGGAACGCCAAUCGCGAAGGCAAGCUUCUAUGACAUUACUGACGCUCAGGGACGAAAGCUAGGGUAGCAAAAGGGAUUAGAAACCCCAGUAGUCC
rnacentral:rRNA from 1 species